GUAGUUGAAAUACUGACAUAGUCGACCGGUCUCACGCAUUGUCGUGAGCACUUGUGUUGUAUUAGGUCAUUCUUGGAUUUUAGCCAGUCUGGCAUUAAGUUGUCGGGUUGGUGAAAACCAUCGUUUACUGUGAAAAAAUUAGAGUGUUCAAAGCAGACUUAUGUCGUUGAAUAGAUUAGCAUGGAAUAAUAAUAUAGGACUUUUGUACUAUUUUGUUGGUUAGGUGUAAAAGUAAUGAUCAAUAGGGACAGUUGGGCGUAUUCGUAUUUCGUUGCUAGAGGUGAAAUUCUUGGAUUUCCGAAAGACGAACUACUGCGAAAGCAUUUACGAAGGAUGUUUUCAUUAAUCAAGAACGAAAGUUAGGGGAUCGAAGAUGAUUAGAUACCAUCGUAGUCUUAACCAUAAACUAUGCCGACUCGGGAUUGGGCGUUGUUUUUUGACUCGUCCAGCACCGUAUGGGAAACCAUUAGUCUUUGGGUUCCGGGGGGAGUAUGGUCGCAAGACUGAAACUUAAAGAAAUUGACGGAAGGGCACCACCAGGAGUGGAGCCUGCGGCUUAAUUUGACUCAACACGGGAAAACUUACCAGGUCCAGACAUAAUGAGGAUUGACAGAUUGAGAGCUCUUUCUUGAUUUUAUGGGUGGUGGUGCAUGGCCGUUCUUAGUUGGUGGAGUGAUUUGUCUGGUUAAUUC
rnacentral:rRNA from 1 species